rnacentral:rRNA from 1 species
AGAGGAAGAAAAUUUGAUAGUUGUACCUUUUGUAUCAGGGGAAUUCAAAAAUAGGUGUAUAGAUUAACCGAGUUUACCUGAUCUUCUUUGUUUGGGUGGGUAGUAAAAUUUAACCACUAUAAAUAAGUAAGGGGUGAAAAGUGACCGGAGGUAAUAGUAUCUGAUUGUUUUAGUGUUUAAAGGGGUCAGCCUUUUAAUUUCUAUUAAAUGAAAUGUUAAAAAAUCUAGGCUUUAGAUUAGCCAAGUUGUUAAGUUGUUUUAAGUAAUUUUAUAGUAGCAGACAAUAGAAUAGAGUUAAAUAGACAAUGCAUAGUCGUAAUAAUUUUCAAUUAUAAUGAGUUUAUUGAAUUAAUAGUGGAGCCAUUAAAUAACUCGCAGUAUGUUAGAAAGUUUAACAAAAACAUUUCUGUUUGUUUAAAUAAAAGUAAGGCCUGCCCGGUGUGUAUUAAACGGCUGCAGUAUUUUGACUGUGCUAAGGUAGCAUAAUCAUUUGUUUUUUAAUUGGUAGCUGGAAUGAAAGGCUAAACUAGCUUAUUUGGUUUGUAAGGCUAAAAAAUAAAUUAAAGUCAAGGUAAUAAUUCUUUGAUCUUCUAGGGGACGAUAAGACCCUAGAAGCUUGAUAAAAUGAAUAUUUGUUAGUAGUGGAGUUUAAUUUAGUUUACUGGGGCGGUAGUAGUGUGUGAACCACUAAAGUUUUGAGCGAUCCUUUACAUAAAGAUAAGUCGGGUAAGUUACUCUAGGGAUAACAGUGCGAUAUAUUUGGAGAGAUCUUAUCGAUAAAUAUGAUUGCAACCUCGAUGUUGAAUUAAAAUAUCUAAGUGGGGUAGGCGACACAUGAGAGGGUUUGUUCAACC